GAUUUCUAAUAUACCGAAUCCCCGAAUCGUAAUGCUAACAUUGAUCAAAUUGAUCAAUGUGUGGUAUGAAGGUGAUAAGUGAAGUCCCCGAGUUGCCUUGAAGACAUUGGGAUGGUUAGAAGUGAGUUUCGAGAGUAUUUAAGUAUUUUCGGCGCAAACUGGGCGCGGAAACGGGCUCUGAAGUGUUAAGUCUGCUGGAACGGCAGAAAUUCUAUUGAGUACCGAAA
rnacentral:lncRNA from 1 species